rnacentral:rRNA from 1 species
GAUAAACGCUGGCGGCGUGCCUAAUACAUGCAAGUCGUGCGGCAGCGAGCCCUUCGGGGUGUCGGCGAGCGGCGGACGGCUGAGUAACACGUAGGAACAUACCCCAAAGUGAGGGAUAACUGCUCGGAAGAGUAGCUAAUACCGCAUGUGGUCUAAGGAUUAAAGCUUCGGCGCUUUGGGAAUGGCCUGCGUUCGAUUAGCUAGAUGGUGAGGUAAAGGCUCACCAUGGCGACGAUCGAUAGCUGGUCUGAGAGGAUGAUCAGCCAGACUGGGACUGAGACACGGCCCAGACUCCUACGGGAGGCAGCAGUAGGGAAUUUUCCACAAUGGGCGAAAGCCUGAUGGAGCAACGCCGCGUGCAGGAUGAAUGCCUUAGGGUUGUAAACUGCUUUUAUAUGUGACGAUUAUGACGGUAGCAUAUGAAUAAGGAUCGGCUAACUCCGUGCCAGCAGCCGCGGUAA